rnacentral:rRNA from 1 species
GAUGAACGCUAGCUACAGGCUUAACACAUGCAAGUCGAGGGGAAACGGCAUUAAGUGCUUGCACUUUUUGGACGUCGACCGGCGCACGGGUGAGUAACGCGUAUCCAACCUUCCCAUGACUAAGGGAUAACCUGCCGAAAGGCAGACUAAUACCUUAUGGUCUUCACUGACGGCAUCAGAUGUGAAGUAAAGAUUUAUCGGUUAUGGAUGGGGAUGCGUCUGAUUAGCUUGUUGGCGGGGUAACGGCCCACCAAGGCAACGAUCAGUAGGGGUCCUGAGAGGAAGGUCCCCCACAUUGGAACUGGGACACGGUCCAAACUCCUACGGGAGGCAGCAGUGAGGAAUAUUGGUCAAUGGGCGAGAGCCUGAACCAGCCAAGUAGCGUGCAGGAUGACGGCCCUAUGGGUUGUAAACUGCUUUUGUAGGGGGAUAAAGUCAAUCACGUGUGAUUGUUUGCAGGUACCAUACGAAUAAGGACCGGCUAAUUCCGUG